rnacentral:rRNA from 2 species
UGCAGUCGNNCGGUAACAGGUCUUCGGAUGCUGACGAGUGGCGGACGGGUGAGUAACGCGUAGGAAUCUGCCCAUCUGUGGGGGAUACCAGUUGGAAACGACUGUUAAUACCGCAUAAUAUCUGCGGAUUAAAGGUGGCCUUUGCGCUGCCGCAGAUGGAUGAGCCUGCGUUGGAUUAGCUAGUUGGUGGGGUAAGGGCCUACCAAGGCUACGAUCCAUAGCUGAUUUGAGAGGAUGAUCAGCCACAUUGGGACUGAGACACGGCCCAAACUCCUACGGGAGGCAGCAGUGGGGAAUAUUGGACAAUGGGGGAAACCCUGAUCCAGCAAUGCCAUGUGUGUGAAGAAGGCUCUAGGGUUGUAAAGCACUUUAGUUGGGGAGGAAAGCCUGUGAGUUAAUAGCUUGCAGGAAGGACGUUGCCCAAAGAAUAAGGACCGGCUAACUCCGUGCCAGCAGCCGCGGUAAUACGGGGGGUCCGAGCGUUAAUCGGAAUUACUGGGCGUAAAGGGUCUGUAGGUGGUUUGUUAAGUCAGAUGUGAAAGCCCAGGGCUCAACCUUGGAACUGCAUUUGAUACUGACAAACUAGAGUAUGGUAGAGGAAUAGGGAACUUCUGGUGUAGCGGUGAAAUGCGUAGAGAUCAGAAAGGANCACCAAUGGCGAANGCAACAUUCUGGACCAAUACUGACACUGANGGACGAANGCGUGGGGAUCAAACANGNAUUAGAUACCCUGGUANNCCACGCUGUAAAC